GUUAUUUGAAAAAGGUGUUUAAUCGCCCGAUCAAUGUAGUGGAAGGGGUGAGUCGGCCAGUGAUGUCGAGAUGAGUGCGAUGCCUACGUGCAUCAACGUUUAGUGGACCUAAAGGACAUCGUCAGCACCGAGAUUUGCCAGCUGGAAACGCAGUGGGGCUACACGCAAUGGAGGCACGCGUACCAC